CCUACGUGAGUCAGCAGUGGGGACUAUUGCACAAUGGGGGAAACCCUGAUGCAGCGACGCCGCGUGAGUGAAGAAGGAUUUCGGUAUGUAAAGCUCUAUCAGCAGGGAAGAAAAUGACGGUACCUGACUAAGAAGCACCGGCUAACUACGUGCCAGCAGCCGCGGUAAUACGUAGGGUGCAAGCGUUAUCCGGAUUCACUGGGUGUAAAGGGAGCGUAGACGGGGCGGGAAGGCUGAAGUGAAAGGCAGGGGCUUAACCCCUGAACUGCUUUGUAAACUGCCAUUCUAGAGUGCUGGAGAGGUAAGUGGAAUUCGUAGUGUAGGGGUAAAAUGCGUAGAUAUUAAGAGGAACACCAGUGGCGAAGGCGGCUUACUGGACAGUAACUGACGUUGAGGCUCGAAAGCGUGGGGAGCAAACAGGAUUAGAUACCCUAGUAGUC
rnacentral:rRNA from 1 species